rnacentral:rRNA from 1 species
GACGAACGCUGGCGGCGUGCUUAACACAUGCAAGUCGAACGGUAAGGCCCUUCGGGGUACACGAGUGGCGAACGGGUGAGUAACACGUGGGUGAUCUACCCUGCACUUCGGGAUAAGCCUGGGAAACUGGGUCUAAUACCGGAUAGGACCACUGCCUGCAUGGGUGGUGGUGGAAAGCUUUUGCGGUGUGGGAUGGGCCCGCGGCCUAUCAGCUUGUUGGUGGGGUGAUGGCCUACCAAGGCGACGACGGGUAGCCGGCCUGAGAGGGUGAUCGGCCACACUGGGACUGAGAUACGGCCCAGACUCCUACGGGAGGCAGCAGUGGGGAAUAUUGCACAAUGGGCGCAGGCCUGAUGCAGCGACGCCGCGUGAGGGAUGACGGCCUUCGGGUUGUAAACCUCUUUCAGCACCGACGAAGCGCAAGUGACGGUAGGUGCAGAAGAAGGACCGGCCAACUACGUGCCAGCCGCCGCGGUAA